UCGGGCACAUGGAAGUGCCUCGGACCUGGAGUACUGGAUAGGGAGCAGGACUGGAGAUUGGACGAUGAAGGGCUCGGUUUGGGACGCACGGAGUGUGAGGCUUCUUUGGGUCACCACAGCAGAAGUAUUCUCCUGGAAAAUAUUCAGAGGGCAGUGGAAUGAAGCUUGGGGCCCGGGAGGCAGGCAUCGGCUCCCAGACACCAGCUGAAGCCAAGGUGACAGUGAGAGCGUCACCUUCCCUGGGGAAAUGCCCAUAUCACAAGCCUCUGGGUUUCGAGUCAGGGGAGGUCACACCGGACCAGAUCACCUGCUCUAACCCGGAGCAGUAUGUGGGCUGGUAUUCUUCGUGGACUGCAAACAAGGCCCGGCUCAACAGUCAAGGCUUUGGGU
rnacentral:lncRNA from 1 species